UCGCACGCCUUCCUUUCGCAGAACACUCAAAGAUUCGCGCACACCCUUUUCUCCUUUGUUGCCUGCCACUGCACUUCUUCCUCCUCAUUUUCCUCUUUCUCUCUCUCUCUUUCUCUCUCUCCAUCAGCCUCAGCACCACAGACACCGUUGUCGCCUUCCCUUCUUCUUUUGCCGUCGCCUUCCCUUAUUCCUCUGGUUGAAACCCUCAUCCAUGCACUUGAGAAAAUUGCCAAGUUGAAGAUUCCCCUGGUGAUUUGUGCAAAUUUGAACUCUAUGCCUCAGAGACAAUGUUGAGCUUGGUACAGCAUGUGGAAAGUACUUCCGGGUGUCUUGCCUUAGCAUCAUUGAUGCAGGUGAUUCGGAUGUUAUCAAGACACUGCCUGGUGGUCAGUGAAGGAGAGUAGGAUGAUCCUCUAUGUUGAGUGUAGUGUUUUGUUUUGAGACUUACCCUUUCUUUUCUCUUAAUGAAAUUCUCGAUUUUCUUUGAUAAUGUUGUGUUACUAAGUUUCCAAAUGCUUAGAUUCUACUAUAUGUGUAAGGUGAUAUUCGUUGUGACUUGAUGCAUGGCAUCUUGAGAUUCAUUAAAGUUAAUUUUGUUACAUUA